rnacentral:rRNA from 1 species
CGGCGAUUUCCGAAUGGGGAAACCCAGUGUGUUUCGACACACUAUCAUUAACUGAAUCCAUAGGUUAAUGAGGCGAACCGGGGGAACUGAAACAUCUAAGUACCCCGAGGAAAAGAAAUCAACCGAGAUUCCCCCAGUAGCGGCGAGCGAACGGGGAGGAGCCCAGAGCCUGAAUCAGUGUGUGUGUUAGUGGAAGCGUCUGGAAAGGCGUGCGAUACAGGGUGACAGCCCCGUACACAAAAAUGCACAUAUUGUGAGCUCGAUGAGUAGGGCGGGACACGUGGUAUCCUGUCUGAAUAUGGGGGGACCAUCCUCCAAGGCUAAAUACUCCUGACUGACCGAUAGUGAACCAGUACCGUGAGGGAAAGGCGAAAAGAACCCCGGCGAGGGGAGUGAAAAAGAACCUGAAACCGUGUACGUACAAGCAGUGGGAGCCUCUUAAUGGGGUGACUGCGUACCUUUUGUAUAAUGGGUCAGCGACUUAUAUUCUGUAGCAAGGUUAACCGAAUAGGGGAGCCGAAGGGAAACCGAGUCUUAACUGGGCGUUAAGUUGCAGGGUAUAGACCCGAAACCCGGUGAUCUAGCCAUGGGCAGGUUGAAGGUUGGGUAACACUAACUGGAGGACCGAACCGACUAAUGUUGAAAAAUUAGCGGAUGACUUGUGGCUGGGGGUGAAAGGCCAAUCAAACCGGGAGAUAGCUGGUUCUCCCCGAAAGCUAUUUAGGUAGCGCCUCGUGAAUUCAUCUCCGGGGGUAGAGCACUGUUUCGGCAAGGGGGUCAUCCCGACUUACCAACCCGAUGCAAACUGCGAAUACCGGAGAAUGUUAUCACGGGAGACACACGGCGGGUGCUAACGUCCGUCGUGAAGAGGGAAACAACCCAGACCGCCAGCUAAGGUCCCAAAGUCAUGGUUAAGUGGGAAACGAUGUGGGAAGGCCCAGACAGCCAGGAUGUUGGCUUAGAAGCAGCCAUCAUUUAAAGAAAGCGUAAUAGCUCACUGGUCGAGUCGGCCUGCGCGGAAGAUGUAACGGGGCUAAACCAUGCACCGAAGCUGCGGCAGCGACACUAUGUGUUGUUGGGUAGGGGAGCGUUCUGUAAGCCUGUGAAGGUGGCCUGUGAGGGUUGCUGGAGGUAUCAGAAGUGCGAAUGCUGACAUAAGUAACGAUAAAGCGGGUGAAAAGCCCGCUCGCCGGAAGACCAAGGGUUCCUGUCCAACGUUAAUCGGGGCAGGGUGAGUCGACCCCUAAGGCGAGGCCGAAAGGCGUAGUCGAUGGGAAACAGGUUAAUAUUCCUGUACUUGGUGUUACUGCGAAGGGGGGACGGAGAAGGCUAUGUUGGCCGGGCGACGGUUGUCCCGGUUUAAGCGUGUAGGCUGGUUUUCCAGGCAAAUCCGGAAAACCAAGGCUGAGGCGUGAUGACGAGGCACUACGGUGCUGAAGCGACAAAUGCCCUGCUUCCAGGAAAAGCCUCUAAGCAUCAGGUAACAUCAAAUCGUACCCCAAACCGACACAGGUGGUCAGGUAGAGAAUACCAAGGCGCUUGAGAGAACUCG